GGGGCACUGAAUAGUGAUGGAAUCCCUCGCCCUUACAAGUUCAGCCCAAUACCAAAGUCUCGAAGCUCUGCAGAAAGAAGAGAAACUGAAUACUGCCCCUUGCCUUCAGGCUGAUCUCAUCUUAAACAGCAAAAUAUGUCUUGGAAUCACCUCUUCAGAGCAGGUAAAAAUCCUGACCAGUCGGCCGGCCGAGAAAACAAGCGUUCCACUCGCCCGGAAAUUAGAUGCACGGGGCACUCGGUCCCCGCCGGAGGUGGGAAGCCCUGCGGAGGCGAGACCGGCUGCCCGGGGGGCCGCGGCCCCUGCAGACCACGGAGGCCGUUCCAGGGGCCGCGUGCGCACGGCCCCCCCACCCCCGCCCCGCCCCGCCAGGUGCGCCGGGCCCGGCCCCGCCAGCCGCGCGCCUCCCGCCGCCGGGCACGGGCGGCCCCGCAGCCGAGCCUUCCCGCCCGGCGCCCGGGCUCCGAUUACAGGUUCGCCCGGGGGGCCCGGCCCGCGGCCGCCCAGCCCCCGCCGGCGCGCCCUCGCGCGGCCCCGCCGCCCCGCCUGCCCAUUCUUCUCCAUUCAUGCGGACGCCCAGCGCCGCCGCCGCCGCCGCCAGCGCGCCCGCCGUCGCCGCCGCCGGCCGCCCGGAUUGGCUGGCGGCCGCGGCGCCGGCACUUUCCCACGGCCCGCGGCGCGUGCGGCUCACCGGCGGCGCUGCAGGCGCGGCCCUGGCGCGCGGCCAGGCCAAUCGGGGCGCGCGGGGCGGGGCGGGGCCGCGGCGGGCGGCGGGCUCGGGGCUCGGGGCUCGGGGCUCGGGGCCCGGCCCGGCCUCCCCCGCCUGCCCGCCGCCGGCCCACAGCCGCCCGCCCCGCCCCGCCACGCCCGCGGAGCCCCGGCCGAGCCCCCGCGGAGACCCCGCG
rnacentral:lncRNA from 12 species